UACAGGGGGUGCAAGCGUUACUCGGAAUCAUUGGGCGUAAAGAGCGUGUAGGCGGUUUGGUAAGUCGAAUGUGAAAGCCCCAGGCUUAAUCUGGGAAGUGCAUUCGAUACUGCUAGACUAGAGUACAGGAGAGGUGAACGGAAUUUCUGGUGUAGAGGUGAAAUUCGUAGAUAUCAGAAGGAACAACAGUGGCGAAGGCGGUUCACUGGACUGUCACUGACGCUUAGGCGCGAAAGCGUGGGGAGCAAACAGG
rnacentral:rRNA from 1 species